AAUCAACGCUGGCGGCGUGCCUCAGACAUGCAAGUCGAACGCGAAAGGUUCCUUCGGGAACCCGGUAGAGUGGCGCACGGGUGAGUAACACGUGGGUAAUUUGCCUUCGGGUGGGGAAUAACAGUCGGAAACGGCUGCUAAUACCGCAUAAUGCAGCGGCAUCAUAAGAUGACAGUUGUUAAAGCGGGGGAUCGUAAGACCUCGCGCCUGAAGAGAAGCCCGCGGCGGAUUAGGUAGUUGGGAGGUAAUGGCUCACCAAGCCCGCGAUCCGUAACCGGCCUGAGAGGGCGGUCGGUCACACUGACACUGACAUACGGGUCAGACUCCUACGGGAGGCAGCAGUCGGGAAUUUGGGCAAUGGGCGCAAGCCUGACCCAGCAACGCCGCGUGAAGGAUGAAGCAUUUCGGUGUGUAAACUUCACAAGAAUGGGAAGAAUAAGUUAAGGCGAAUACCCUUGACGAUGACGGUACUAUUUGUAAGCUCCGGCUAACUCCGCGCCAGCCGCCGCCGUAAG
rnacentral:rRNA from 1 species